rnacentral:rRNA from 1 species
AGGUAAUAGAUACCCUGGUAGUCCUAGCAGUAAACGGUGCAUGCUUGGUAUGGGGACAUAGACAUUCUCCGUGCCGUAGUUAACACGUUAAGCAUGCCGCCUGGGGAAGUACGGUCGCAAGACUAAAACUCAAAGAAAUUGACGGGGACCCGCACAAGCGGUGGAGUAUGUGGCUUAAUUCGAUGCAACGCGAUGAACCUUACCUGGACUUGACAUGCAUCUAUAAACGGCGGAAACGUCGUGAUUGUAGCAAUACAAAAAUUUGCACAGGUGCUGCAUGGCUGUCGUCAGCUCGUGUCGUGAGAUGUUGGGUUUAAGUCCCGCAACGAGCGCCAACCCGUGUUAGUUUGUUGCUACGUUCGGUUUACCGUGGGUACUA